rnacentral:rRNA from 1 species
CCUACGGGAGGCAGCAGUGAGGAAUAUUGGUCAAUGGGCGGAAGCCUGAACCAGCCAAGUAGCGUGCGGGAUGCAGGCCCUACGGGUCGUCAACCGCUUUUGCACGGGGAUAACACCCUCCACUUGUGGAGGUCUGCAGGUACCGUGCGAAUAAGGGCCGGCUAAUUCCGUGCCAGCAGCCGCGGUCAUCCGGAAGGCCCGAGCGUUAUCCGGAUUCAUUGGGGUUAAAGGAAGCGUAGGCGGGCGUUCAAGUCAGCUGUAAAAUCGCGCGGCUCAACCGCGCCCCGCAGUUGAAACUGGACGCCUUGAGUUCACAACAGGCAGGCGGAAUUCGUGGUGUAGCGGUGAAAUGCAUAGAUAUCACGAGGAACCCCGAUUGCGAAGGCAGCCUGCCGGGGUGCGACUGACGCUGAGGCUCGAAGGUGCGGGUAUCAAACAGGAUUAGAUACCCGAGUAGUC